rnacentral:rRNA from 1 species
GAUGAACGCUGGCGGCGUGCCUAAUACAUGCAAGUCGAGCGAACGGACGAGAAGCUUGCUUCUCUGAUGUUAGCGGCGGACGGGUGAGUAACACGUGGAUAACCUACCUAUAAGACUGGGAUAACUUCGGGAAACCGGAGCUAAUACCGGAUGAUAUUUUGAACCGCAUGGUUCAAAAGUGAAAGACGGUCUUGCCGUCACUUAUAGAUGGAUCCGCGCUGCAUUAGCUAGUUGGUAAGGUAACGGCUUACCAAGGCAACGAUGCAUAGCCGACCUGAGAGGGUGAUCGGCCACACUGGAACUGAGACACGGUCCAGACUCCUACGGGAGGCAGCAGUAGGGAAUCUUCCGCGAUGGGCGAAAGCCUGACGGAGCAACGCCGCGUGAGUGAUGAAGGUCUUCGGAUCGUAAAACUCUGUUAUUAGGGAAGAACAUAUGUGUAAGUAACUGUGCACAUCUUGACGGUACCUAAUCAGAAAGCCACGGCUAACUACGUG